UACGGAGGGGGCUAGCGUUGUUCGGAAUGACUGGGCGUAAAGCGCGCGUAGGCGGGCUGGAAAGUUGGGGGUGAAAUCCCGGGGCUCAACCCCGGAAUGGCCUUCAAAACUCCCAGCCUAGAGUUCGAGAGAGGUGAGUGGAAUUCCGAGUGUAGAGGUGAAAUUCGUAGAUAUUCGGAGGAACACCAGUGGCGAAGGCGGCUCACUGGCUCGACACUGACGCUGAGGUGCGAAAGCGUGGGGAGCAAACAGG
rnacentral:rRNA from 1 species